rnacentral:rRNA from 1 species
GACGAACGCUGGCGGCGUGCUUAACACAUGCAAGUCGAGCGGUAAGGCCCUUCGGGGUACACGAGCGGCGAACGGGUGAGUAACACGUGGGUGACCUGCCUCUAGCUCUGGGAUAAGCCUGGGAAACUGGGUCUAAUACCGGAUAUGACUCCACGGCGCAUGUUGUGGGGUGGAAAGCCUUGUGUGGCUAGAGAUGGGCCCGCGGCCUAUCAGCUUGUUGGUGGGGUGAGGCCUACCAAGGCGACGACGGGUAGCCGGCCUGAGAGGGCGACCGGCCACACUGGGACUGAGACACGGCCCAGACUCCUACGGGAGGCAGCAGUGGGGAAUCUUGCGCAAUGGGCGAAAGCCUGACGCAGCGACGCCGCGUGAGGGAUGACGGCC